rnacentral:ncRNA from 2 species
UCUGACCGACAGGGGCGUCCGUAUCACACGGGCUGAGAAGCACCCUUUGAACCUGACCCCGAUCAUGCGGGCGGAGGAAGUCGACAUCAGGCCCAG